GAUGACUGGAGUUCAGACAUGUGCUCUUCUGAUUGUAGAAAAUGAGCAAGAAGACAUCAGCAGAGGUGGGAGAAUAAAUUAAAAUAUCUUUUUACAAAAAAAUUCUGGCAUCAGUCUAAAUAUAUCUUCACUAGAAUACAGUUACCAAAGCAUAUUCUGAGAAUUCCUGGGGGUUACUAAGACCCUUUCAGGGAUCUGUGAGGUUAGCUACAAUAUUAAAAGUGGUAAAAUGUUACCAUGUUUUAGGUACAAGGAAAUUUUUGCCUUUUUCACUUAUAUUCUCACACAAGUGCACAGUGGAAUUUUCUAGAGGUUGCAUGAUGUACGAUGAUCUCAUUAUUCUGAGGACUAAUGGAAUGAGCUUUUGUGCAUUCCUGUGUUUUAAAACUCUGCUCAAAAUUUUAAUACAGUCAAUACACACUGAUAUAAUCCACACAAACAGGAGACCUUGGGUGUCUUCAAUAAUUUCUAAAAGAGAUAAUGGAUCUCUAAGACCACAAAGUUUGAGAACCACUGCUCUAGAAUAAGAUAGCUUCUGAUGGAUGAGGGGAUCUCAUCUUGCAAGUGCUGCUGACAUCCAGCCUGUUGAAGAAGGGGGACCACAGACAUGCCUGAGAAGUUUAAUUUUCCCUUUCAAGAUCAUUCCUUGAUAUGUAUCAUACAAACAUUUGUUUCUGGAUUUCGUGUCUGUCUCCCUGGCUAGAGCAAAUGCUCUAUGAGGGUAAGGGCUUUUUGACUGCUUUGUUCAGCACUCUAUGCCCAGUAAUUAAAUAAUUAAAUUUCUAUAUAUAGAAAUUUAACAGCAACCAGUACACCUUCAAUACUCAUUUGUUUAAAUCUGAAAGCAUUGAUUAAAAUCAAAGACAUUGAAAUAUUUAACUGUUUACUAUGUGUUAAUCUUGUUACAUAUAUUAUCUAUAAUACUCUCAGAAUCCCUUGGUGGAAGAUACGUUAUUUCUAUUCUGUUUAAGAAAGUGAAGUAACUUGUUCCAGGUCUCACAGUCUGUCAGGGGUGGCCUAAAGACUUACACAUUGUGGCCUCUGCUCUAUUGGCUCCUGGUUGAGGCCAGAUAAGUAGGGAUACGUGGCAGAUAUCACAGAUCUAAGGAGUUCAGUACAGAGAGGUCAACUUCGGAAGAAAACAACAGUGCAUUCUAGGGAUAGGUGCAGGCAGGCAGAAUCUCAUGUCAAGGAGGUCAGAGUCAGAGAAGAAGCACUGGAGGAUGGAUUGGUAAACUGAGUCUGUGACAAAGGCAGAUCACUUUCUGGCUUGUUUCAUGCCCUUUGUUUGAGAGGCAGGGCAUCAUAGUGAUUACGACGGGGGGACUGGCGUUUGCCUGCGGGGAUGUGAGUCUUAGUUCUUCUACCUGCUUGCUGUGUCAUGUCUGGUUAGUUGCUUCAGCUUCCUGUGCUUCAGUUUUCUCAUAUGUAACGUGAAUGUGAUGAUAAUAUUCCCACUUACCUUGUGGGAUUGUUUUGAAAUUAAGUGAAUUGAUAAUAUUUGGAUAGCCCUUAAAAUGGCACCUUGCUCUUACUAAGUUCUAUAUAAGUCGAUGUAAGUGUGAGCAGUUAUUUUAUUGGACAUUGUCAGGAGCUCAUGAAAGUUCAUUGCGAGUAAAAGGCAUGAAACCAGGUUUCAGUGGCGUCAGAGACUGGGCUUCUGGGAUGUGGUACAGAAUGGUUAGCUUGCAGGUUCGGGAACCAGACUUUUGCCACUUAUUGACUGUAUGGUUUGGGGUUAGUUACCUAACCGUUUUGUGACUUAGCUUCCUUCCACGUGAAAUAGAGAAGGCAAGUGUGCCCGUGCCAUUGAAUUAUAUAAAGUAGUAAAUUAGUAAAUGUAAACUAUUUAGAGAAGUACCUAGACCACGUAUGUGGUAUACUCACUGUAGUUCUUACUGCAUAAUCAGAUUAUGCCUUCAGUGGUUAGAAAAGGAAGUCCAGUCUAAUCUCAAAAAUCAAAGAGGUGGCAAAAAUUGUAACUAAGAUGCUAGGAUUUAAAAUGUGAUAAUUCAAUCACAAUAAAAACAAUGAUAUAAGAAGGUACCUAUAAUUAAAUGACAAAAUGUACAAAGAAAUAGGUUAACGAUGUGUACAAGUAGAUUAAAAAAUGUCUAUCAAAGGUGAAACCCUGAGUAAUGAGUUCAGAGAGGAAGGGUCAGUGUUCUUGAGCUAAUAAGUCCAUACUACACCGAGGAAGAGGAAAGAGCUCACCAGAGAUGUGGGUACGAAUCAGCCUUCAAGGAAGAGGAGAAAUAGCUUGGUCUCAUCUUGUCUCUUUUCCUUUCUCUCCUGCUUUGUUCUUUGUUCCAUCUUCUACAAUACUGAAAAGUGUAAAACACAAACACUAUAGGACUGGCCACUAGAGAUCUAGGUUUUAGUCUUGGUCUGAUCUGCUAUAACCAACAGUGUGAUCUUAGACAAGCCACUUGGCCUCCUGGGACCGUGGUCACCUCAUUUGGAAAUAAGAAGGCCAAAUUAUCUUAAGGGUCCUUUCUUAGGAGGAUUCUGGGAAUUACCUAAACAAUCCAGAAAUACUAAGACUUCCUGGAAUAAAAUGAGGAAUCCAGAUGGUGUAAUACCAAUGCCUAGACUCACUCCUUUACCAAGGCACUAGGUACCCCAAAUGAAACACCUGCACCUCCCCAGGAACCAAGAUCCCUUGGACCCUCUGGCCUGACAGUCACAGGAGGACAGCCUGAGAUAAGUCUAUCUGGUCUAAAGUAAUGCAUACAUAAUAAGAAGUUGGUUAUCUUGACAUAUCAUUAUUCCUUGUGAAAAAUGCCCUUGAGAGCUUCGUUUACCCUCUUCACCUCCUCAUCAGUAGUACUGUGCUAACGUUUCUGUUAUUCAUCAUGUUUUAAAAUUAGCUUCUUAAUCCUCUUAAUAUUUUUGACUUCUCUGCCUUGAGAUACACACCCAGCCUGAACUUGUUUUUUUGCAGCCUUUGUACAGCAUAUAAAUAACAAGAAUAGAUUGUUCCCAUAGCCUUGGCUUCUUCACUAAAUUAACUACGUUUACUCAUUGCUCUUAUUUUUGUUCUUGGUGGAAUAAACCUGAAUUUUCUCAACUAAAUUUGGCUUUGAAAUUCUAUGGUAUGUUCUUUAUCUCCAUUCUCUUUGAUGUUGUUAGGCUUUUAAAUCUGUUUGGAACAUCUCUUCCUUUGUUUUUAAGAGCACCCCUUUUCUAUGAGGGAUGCUUUCUUUGGCUUAUUUUCUUUUUCUUUUACUAGCUUCUCUUUCUUCUCUACUCCCUGUCUUUGUCCAUUCAUGUUACUAUAAAGGAAUACCUGAGGUUGGGUAAUUCAUAAAGAAAAAAGGUUUAUUUGCUGUUCUGCGGGCUGUAUAGGAUGCAUGGUGCCAGCAUCCGCUUCUAGUGAAGGCAUCAGGCUGCUUCCACUCAUGGCAGAAGACAAAAGCUAGAAAGGAGGCCAGAGGGGGCUGUGCUGGGGAGGUGCCAGGCUCAUUUUAACAACCAGCUCUCAGGAUAACUUUCACAGGAACUAAUGGAACGAGAACACACUAAGUCCCCACCACCCAAGGGGAGGGUAUUAAUCCAUUAGUGACGGAUUCUCCCUCAAGACCCCAACAUCUCCCAUUAAGCCGCACCCCUAACACUGGGGAUCAAAUUUCAACAUGAGUUUUGUAGGAGUCAAACAAACCAAACUAUAGCACUCCCUGAAAAAUCUAUUCUUAUGGUCCUAUACUUAGCUCACUUCUUAAUUCUAAAUAAUUAUCUUCCUUGGAAAUUAUAUUUACUAACAGCUUCCUAUUUCCUUUAAGCAGGUGAUGUUUAUGUUUUGAUAUUUAGAUUUCUUUUAAUCAGCUGAUUACUUCCGUCAUUCAUUAGCCAUUAAUUGAGCACCUGUUAUAAAUGAUGUACUGUGCUGGUACUAAGGAUAUAAAGAUCAGUGACUUUCUCUACCUUUAAACAGUUCUAAUGGAGUCUCAUUGAAGUGACAGACACAGAGCCAGUUAAUGCCAACCCAAUAUAACAUGCCAAACUAGGGUAUUAAACCAACUGCUUUUAGAACCUGGAGAAGUGAGUAACCGACCUCUGAGGGCUAUCAAGGAAAGGCUUCCUGGAAGAAAGGACAUUGGCAGUGGGUAUUAAAGAUUGAGUAGGAGUUUGUGAAUUGUGAUGUCUCCCAACUUCCUUCUGUUCUGUUCAUGCUGAUGUUCCACUGGCACCUUAAUUUUAACAUGUCAAAAGGCAAAUUACUUAUCUUUCAUCCUCAAUUACUUCACUCACUUGAGUUUCCUAUUACAUUAUUCUCCCAAUCAUCCUUUUGGCAUUUUUCUGUUUCCUCUCUGUUGUCCUGCUGUCCGCCACAAAGUCAUCUGCAUGCUUUCUUUCCCUUUUUUGUUCAGUUGUUCCCACUGGCCCAGACACUUCAUACUGUGCCACCUCCUGUCUGGGUUAUGACAAUGGACUUCUAGCUAAUUAAUCUGCCUAAGUUUGCUUUUUCCAUUUAAUCUGUUUUGUACAUCAUUGCCCAUUACUCUCUUUUAAAAUAUCAGUUUGAUUUUGUCACUCAUCAAGUUAGAAAUAAUGGCAAACUGACCCUUCUUCAAUGCUUAGAUGGUUUAUGAAGUGCUUUUUAAAAAUGUUAUCUCAUUUCAUUAUCAAAACAACUUUGAAAUAAAUACUGUACCUUAUUGAAUAUCCUCUAAAUUUAGAAUUCAGUAGUCUAUGAGCUCCUGUAACCAGGGAUAACAUCAUGUUAAUCUCAGCUUCUUUAUUGCCUAGCACAGUGCUCAUUCAUAAAUGAUGUUCAAAAACUAUUAUGGAUUCACUCCUGCCUCGUGUCUGUGCAUCUUUAUGUGCCCAAUUAAAAAUAGUUAACCAAGCUGGGCAUGAUGGCUUACACCUGUAAUCCCUGCACUUUGGGAGGCCAAGGCGGGUGGAUCACCUGAGAUCAGGAGUUCAAGGCCAGCCUGGUCAACAUGAUGA